rnacentral:rRNA from 1 species
GAUGAACGCUGGCGGCGUGCUUAACACAUGCAAGUCGAACGGUGAAGCAGGAGCUUGCUCUUGUGGAUCAGUGGCGAACGGGUGAGUAACACGUGAGCAACCUGCCCCUGACUCUGGGAUAAGCGCUGGAAACGGCGUCUAAUACUGGAUAUGUGAUGUGACCGCAUGGUCUGCAUCUGGAAAGAAUUUCGGUUGGGGAUGGGCUCGCGGCCUAUCAGCUUGUUGGUGAGGUAAUGGCUCACCAAGGCGUCGACGGGUAGCCGGCCUGAGAGGGUGACCGGCCACACUGGGACUGAGACACGGCCCAGACUCCUACGGGAGGCAGCAGUGGGGAAUAUUGCACAAUGGGCGGAAGCCUGAUGCGGCAACGCCGCGUGAGGGAUGACGGCCUUCGGGUUGUAAACCUCUUUUAGCAGGGAAGAAGCGAAAGUGACGGUACCUGCAGAAAAAGCACCGGCUAACUACGUGCCAGCAGCCGCAGUAA